GACAGAGGGUGCAACCGUUGUUCGGAAUUACUGGGCGUAAAGCGAGUGUAGGCGGUUUGGAAAGUCGGAUGUGAAAGCCCCGGGCUCAACCCGGGAAGUGCAUUCGAUACUCCCAAGCUAGAGUAUCGGAGAGGUUGGUGGAAUUCUCGGUGUAGAGGUGAAAUUCGUAGAUAUCGAGAGGAACACCGGCGGCGAAGGCGGCCAACUGGACGAAUACUGACGCUGAGACUCGAAAGCGUGGGGAGCAAACAGG
rnacentral:rRNA from 1 species